rnacentral:misc_RNA from 1 species
UCUCAUUCUUCAUAAUAUGGCUAGUCUUUCAGCUACUUGUCUCAGAUUUGGCUGUUCUGUCAACACAUCUCAGAUAAACGGAGGCACUGUGAAGUUGGUUUCAGUGGGUUGGGGAAGGAGUAGUGCUGGUUUCCCUUCUCUAAGAACAUCCCGCCUUCGUGUUGCAGCUGCAAAGGCAGAGACAAUUGAUAAGGUAAUAAGCAUAGUGAG